rnacentral:rRNA from 1 species
AUUGAACGCUGGCGGCAGGCCUAACACAUGCAAGUCGAACGGCAGCACAGAAGAGCUUGCUCUUUGGGUGGCGAGUGGCGGACGGGUGAGUAAUGUCUGGGAAACUGCCCGAUGGAGGGGGAUAACUACUGGAAACGGUAGCUAAUACCGCAUAACGUCGCGAGACCAAAGUGGGGGACCAUCGGGCCUCACACAAUCGGAUGUGCCCAGAUGGGAUUAGCUAGUAGGUGGGGUAAUGGCUCACCUAGGCGACGAUCCCGAGCUGGUCUGAGAGGAUGACCAGCCACACUGGAACUGAGAGACGGUCCAGACUCCUACGGGAGGCAGCAGUGGGGAAUAUUGCACAAUGGGCGCAAGCCUGAUGCAGCCAUGCCGCGUGUAUGAAGAAGGCCUUCGGGUUGUAAAGUACUUUCAGCGGGGAGGAAGGCGGUGAGGUUAAUAACCUCGCCGAUUGACGUUACCCGCAGAAGAAGCACCGGCUAACUCCGUGCCAGCAGCCGCCGUAA